rnacentral:rRNA from 1 species
GAUGAACGCUAGCGGCAGGCUUAACACAUGCAAGUCGAGGGGCAGCGCGGGAUAGCAAUAUCCUGGCGGCGACCGGCGGAAGGGUGCGUAACGCGUGAGCGACAUGCCCGUUGCCCGGGGACAACCGGUGGAAACGCCGACUAAUCCCCGAUGGGAUAUUGUGCCGCAUGGCACGAUAUUGAAAGUUACGGCGGCGACGGAUUGGCUCGCGUCCGAUUAGCUUGUUGGCGGGGUCACGGCCCACCAAGGCUGCGAUCGGUAGGGGUUCUGAGAGGAAGGCCCCCCACAAUGGGACUGAGACACGGCCCAUACUCCUACGGGAGGCAGCAGUGAGGAAUAUUGGUCAAUGGGCGGAAGCCUGAACCAGCCAUGCCGCGUGCGGGAAGGAGGCCCUAUGGGCUGUGAACCGCUUUUGCCUGGGGGCAAUAAGGGCGUCGCGCACGUCCGAUGAGAGUACCAGGCGAAUAAGCAUCGGCUAACUCCGUG